CCCUACGGGAGGCAGCAGUGGGGAAUAUUGGACAAUGGGCGAAAGCCUGAUCCAGCCAUGCCGCGUGUGUGAAGAAGGCCUUCGGGUUGUAAAGCACUUUCAGUGGGGAAGAAAGCCUUGGGGCUAAUACCCUCGAGGAAGGACAUCACCCACAGAAGAAGCACCGGCUAACUCCGUGCCAGCAGCCGCGGUAAUACGGAGGGUGCGAGCGUUAAUCGGAAUUACUGGGCGUAAAGCGCGCGUAGGCGGUCUGAUAAGCCGGUUGUGAAAGCCCCGGGCUCAACCUGGGAACGGCAUCCGGAACUGUCAGGCUAGAGUGCAGGAGAGGAAGGUAGAAUUCCCGGUGUAGCGGUGAAAUGCGUAGAGAUCGGGAGGAAUACCAGUGGCGAAGGCGGCCUUCUGGACUGACACUGACGCUGAGGUGCGAAAGCGUGGGUAGCAAACAGGAUUAGAUACCCCGGUAGUC
rnacentral:rRNA from 1 species